UGGCCAUAUCACAUUGAAACACUAGUUCUUGUGUAAUCACAAGUUAAGCAACAUCGAGCCUGGUCAGUACUUAGAUGGGUGACCACUUGGGAAUAUCAGUUGCUGUAAG